ensembl:lncRNA
GCUCCCGCCAGUGACGCUGAACCUAGCAGCGCUGCGGGCGGCUUCGACCGUAAGCUGGUAAUUGCCUCGACUUGCCGGCUUUCUAAAGGCCACGUGCUGUGUUCCAGUUCUUGAAGACAAAUGAAGGCCAACGACUGGAGCGACAUUUUGGAUACGAGGUGGCUCGGUGGUAAAGAAUCCUCCUGCCAAUGCAGGAGAUGUGAGUUCGCUCCCUGGAUGGGGAAGAUCCUCUGGAGAAGGAAAUGGAAAUUUCCUGUGUGUCUCUAGAAGAGUCCUACAUGACCUACAUUGAAAAAGAUACCUUGUUCUUUUCUCUCCAUCAUUGAAGAUCAUUGGUUUUAACUCCUAAAUGUCUCUCAAAUCACUCUACG